rnacentral:tRNA from 1 species
GUCAGGAUGUCCGGGUGGUCUAAAGCGCCAGACUCAGUUUUGGUCUUCGAAGGAAGGCGUGGGUUCAAAUCCCAUUUUUGACA